rnacentral:rRNA from 1 species
AUUGAACGCUAGCGGGAUGCCUUACACAUGCAAGUCGAACGGCAGCGCGGACUUCGGUCUGGCGGCGAGUGGCGAACGGGUGAGUAAUGUAUCGGAACGUGCCCAGUAGCGGGGGAUAACUACUCGAAAGAGUAGCUAAUACCGCAUACGCCCUACGGGGGAAAGGGGGGGAUCGCAAGACCUCUCACUAUUGGAGCGGCCGAUAUCGGAUUAGCUAGUUGGUGAGGUAAAGGCUCACCAAGGCGACGAUCCGUAGCUGGUUUGAGAGGACGACCAGCCACACUGGGACUGGGACACGGCCCAGAAUCCUACGGGAGGCAGCAGUGGGGAAUUUUGGACAAUGGGGGCAACCCUGAUCCAGCCAUUCCGCGUGUGCGAUGAAGGCCUUCGGGUUGUAAAGCACUUUUGGCAGGAAAGAAAUCGCACGGAUUAAUACUCUGUGUGGAUGACGGUGCCUGCAGAAUAAGCACCGGCUAACUACGUGCCAGCAGCCGCGGUAA